UUAGCACUCUGGACUCUGAAUCCAG
rnacentral:piRNA from 4 species